rnacentral:snRNA from 1 species
CUCUGGUUUCUCUUCAUAACGCACAAGUCUUUCGCCUUUUACUAAAGACUUCCGUGGAGAGGAACAGCAACGAG